UACGAAGGGGGCUAGCGUUGCUCGGAAUCACUGGGCGUAAAGCGCACGUAGGCGGAUUGUUAAGUCAGGGGUGAAAUCCUGGAGCUCAACUCCAGAACUGCCUUUGAUACUGGCGAUCUCGAGUCCGGGAGAGGUGAGUGGAACUGCGAGUGUAGAGGUGAAAUUCGUAGAUAUUCGCAAGAACACCAGUGGCGAAGGCGGCGAUCUGGGCAGACACCGACGCUGAGGUGCGAAAGCGUGGGGAGCAAACAGG
rnacentral:rRNA from 1 species